UGUACUGGUCUUUAGUUUUAGGUUGGUUUGCUAUUUGAAUCUGAGACCUUGUCGGAUUUGGACUGCUUGGAGAGGUUGUCGGGUUUGCUCAUCACUUUCUCUCCUUGCUUGGGAUAUUUCUUCAGCUUCGAAUCUGUUUUCUGGUGCGCGGUAUGCAGGUCUAAACCGCCUAUAAUGUGGGUGGCUACUUCUUCCAUCAGAUUUGGUGAAAUAUUCUUCAUAAGGUUUCGGUGAUGUAGUGUUUUCGAAGGCCUUCUCUUUGUCCCUUGACGUCCUUGUCUACGAUUAUCUUAGCUUUGGCUUGUGUUCUAACGUUUGAUUGUUAACAAGAUUUCUUUGACUUUCUGGAGUGUGGUGGUCUUAAGCAUUGAUGGCUAGUGUCUUCAUAGUGCCUUCGGUUAGGAUCCCCUUGCCUUCAUCUAUGGUAUUGACAUCUAUCCUCUGUGGCGUCAUGUUGCUUACCGGGAUUCGUAUGCGGUAAGGCCUUGCUCGACCUGUGGUUUAUUGGAGUAUUGUCUUUGUGAAGCAAUGAUGCUGUGAAGUUGUGAUGUUCCUUGGUUUUUAACUGACGGGUUCUCCGGAUUUCUUGGUAAGGAAUUGGGAAGCUAGCUUUAGCUCAAUCACGAUUGGUCUUUGAGUAGUUUGAUUGUAAACUGAGUUCUUCUUCGUCGGAUGCUCGGGUGGAGAUCAGUUAUCUUGUGGCUUCCCUCAGUUGAAGCUUGUUCUUGAGUGGCUGGUGCUCGUAGUUCCGUAUCGGAACUGUUGUUGGAGCUUUGCUAUCACCCCAAUAAUUUAGACCAUCAUCGCUUUCUCUCUCAUUCCGGCUUCCAUCAUCGUGGCUUCUCAUUCUUGAUACUUGUUUUUAACUCCAAAAGUUUCUUCUGGUCUUGUUCCCUUCUAGAUUUAAGUCUUCUCAGUUGUUGUCUUGGUCCUUUUCUUGAUUCCAAAUAGUAAUGUCUACUAUGCUGGCUGUUGGCUCUGGAAAGGUUUUCAUACCUUUGCGAGCUUUGUGUACUUCCCGUUUAAGUUUUAAUAUUAAUCCACCAGAUGACAAAAAAAAAAUCUCUAGGAGUAGGUCGGAACAGCAACGUGAUCUCCAACGAGUAUCAUGUGUCUUUAUAGUCGUCUCAUCCUAUUCAAACUUAAGGGGGUGUAUUGAAAGAAAGAUUCGAAGAGAUUGUGGGAUUUGGUUAAAACCCCUUGUUAUUCAACUAAUAAUUUUCAGAAAAAGUUUCAAAUCAUGUGUUAUUCAAUAAGGAGUUUGUGCAAAGUUAUCAAACCUCACUUAAAAUCAUCUAUUAUUCAAUUAAUCAUUUAUAAAAACUGUAUGAAAUCAACUGUUAUUCAAAGCUAAACAGUAUUUACAAAAGAAAAUUGUGAAAAAGGAUUUGAAGAGACUUUACAUCAUUUUAUAGUUAAAAACAUCUUCGUUAGAAUAACAUCUCUAUAGGUGGCAAUUGAAGAGAAAUAAAAAAAAACAUUCUUGAGGAGUACUGUCGUUCAUCUCUCUGUUCGAUUUAUUUCUUCCUGAAAUCUUUCACCACCAUUAAUUUACAGUAGAUAAAUUGAUGGUUUGAGCUGACACCUUGGAUCACACCGAGCUGCUUUUUUCUCUACCUGGAAUCUCAUAAACGAUGAACCAGUUCUUUAAAAUUCUUCUUUAGCCAUCUCUCUUGUUUUUCCUCCCAGUCUAUAAAUGGGUGGCCUUCACAAGUUGAAUUAGUGAUAAAUUUAUGAGAUUUAUUAAUCUCAUAUUUCAUUUUCAUCUAGGGAUUAAUGAAAGAUGGGAACUAAACUGUUUUGUUAAACCGAAUCAAGUCGGAGAUUUCAUACAUAGAGCAGUAUAUGAUGCAAGACAUGGCUUCUUGAGCAGUAUAUGAUGCAAAACAAGGACCACGAUCGGUUGGGGUUUGGAUAGAAGCAUGAGUUCAGCUUGCUUGAAGGAGGAAGGCGUAUAUGAAGUUACUCGAGAGAGUUUACAAGCAGAGUGAUGUUUCUCAGUUCGGUUGAAGCUUUGACUUCUGUAAUCUUUGAUAUAUGUCUACUUCGCACCAAACAUGCCAUUUACUCUCUGUUUCUGUUGUUAUAUUAAAUCAUGAGCUACCUUUAUCUACCAGCCUACAUAGAAACUGGAUAGCCUCAGCCAUUAUCUGGUCCGGUUGUUCUUUCUUUGAAAACUUGAAAUAGAGAAACAGUGGGUUCCUUGUAACAUUGUUCAUGCUUCUAGAUUGUUUUUUUUAUGAACUCUUAAUGCUAUAAAGUGCAUCAUUUGUCUAUGCAUCUACACUGUUUCGAGAACGUUUUAACAUUAAUUAGAAGGAAUAUGACGUGGUAUAGGUUCCGGAACAAGUGGUGGAUGUAUCAGUAGUGAUGCCGACAGAGAAGCUGCCACUGCACAUAGCUUUGCUAGUUCUUUAAACUUGGAGGAGAGGAAGAAUUUACUACCUCUCCAUCUUUAAAAUAGUAGUGCUAGUAACUCUUGUUUUGUUUUUGACUCAUUCUGUAUAUUAGUAUUGGACUGUUGGUAAUAUAUAUAUAUUAAUAU